rnacentral:rRNA from 1 species
AUUGAACGCUGGCGGCAUGCCUUACACAUGCAAGUCGAACGGCAGCACGGGUGCUUGCACCUGGUGGCGAGUGGCGAACGGGUGAGUAAUACAUCGGAACGUACCUUAUCGUGGGGGAUAACGCAGCGAAAGCUGUGCUAAUACCGCAUACGCCCUGAGGGGGAAAGCGGGGGAUCGAAAGACCUCGCGCGAUUAGAGCGGCCGAUGCCUGAUUAGCUUGUUGGUGGGGUAAAAGCCCACCAAGGCGACGAUCAGUAGCUGGUCCGAGAGGAGGAUCAGCCACACUGGAACUGAGACACGGCCCAGACUCCUACGGGGGGCAGCAUUGGGGAAUUUUGGACAAUGGGGGCAACCCUGUUCCAGCAAUGCCGCGUGAGUGAAGAAGGCCUUCGGGUUGUAAAGCUCUUUGUCAGGGAAGAAACACCGGCUCUAACACAGUCCGGGAAUGACGGUACCUGAAGAAUAAGCACCGGCUAACUACGUGCCAGCAGCCGCGGUAA